ensembl:lncRNA
GGUGAGGUGCCGCUCGGGGUGUCUGUGACCCAUUGGAUGUGGUGGGUUGAAUGUGACCCAUCGGUUUAAGGUGGAUGUGGUGGGUUGAAUGUGACCCAUCGGUUUAAGGCGGAUAUGGUGGGUUGAAUGUGACCCAUCGGUUUAAGGUGGAUAUGGUGGGUUGAAUGUGACCCAUCGGUUUAAGGUGGAUGUGGUGGGUUGAAUGUGACCCAUCGGUUAAAGGUGGAUGUGGUGGGGUGCCCUCUAUACUCAUGUGCAGGUUGUCUGGGUCUUUCUCUCCUGCCAGCUUGGACCUUCAUCAACA